CUCUCUCUGUCUCUCUCUCUGUCUCUGUAUCUAUAGAUCUAUAGAUCUUCAGCAACAUUCCAAACAGCAGGAAUGAAUUGUCUGGCAGGUUCAGUUUAAAUGAACGAGAGCUAAAAUAUGUACAAAAUGCCUCUACUUCAGAUCUACAGGCAAACCAGGGCAGAUAUUUUUCCAAGCAAAAAGUUCAAAGUGUGUUCAAAGCUGUUGUUGAACCAAAGCUCAGCUGCACAUGAAGUCUCUUUAUCAGGGCUGUGCUGUGGACGGGAGAUGGCUCACCUGUGCUGUCACCGGGCUGGUCCAUUUUAUACUGAGGGGUGGAGUAGAAGUUCAGACAGGGCGGUCCAUUCUCUGUCGCCAUGAAGUCGAGGGACGUCCCAUUUGAGCCUUUGUCGGUUCGUCUGCUUUCAUGACGGAUUCUCUGACCAAAGCUCACGCCUACGCCAAAGCCACAGAACCAAAGCCAACGCCACAGAACCAAAGCCAACGCCACAGAACCAAAGCCGAAGCCAGAGGAACCAAAGCCGAAGCCACAGAACCAAAGCCACAGAACCAAAGCCAUAAGAGCCAAACCCAACGCCACAGAACCAAAGCCACAGAACCAAAGCCAAAGACACAGAACCAAAGCCAAAACCACAGAACCGAAGCCAAAGACACAGAACCAAAGCCAAAACCACAGAACCGAAGCCACAGAACCAAAGCUGAAGCCACAGAACCAAAGCUGAAGCCACAGAACCAAAGCCACAGAACCAAAGCCAUAAGAGCCAAACCCAACGCCACAGAACCAAAGCCACAGAACCAAAGCCAAAGACACAGAACCAAACCCAAAGACACAGAACCAAAGCCAAAGACACAGAACCAAAGCCAAAGACACAGAACCAAAGCCAAAGCCACAGAACCGAAGCCACAGAACCAAAGCUGAAGCCACAGAACCAAAGCCACAGAACCAAAGCUGAAGCAACAGAACCAAAGCCAUAAGAGCCAAACCCAACGCCACAGAACCAAAGACACAGAACCAAAGCCAAAGACACAGAACCAAAGCCAAAGCCACAGAACCGAAGCCACAGAACCAAAGCUGAAGCCACAGAACCAAAGCCACAGAACAGAAGCCGAAGCCACGACAGAACCAAAGCUAAAGCCACGACAGAACCAAAGCUGAAGCCACGACAGAACCAGAGCCAACGUCAAAGAACCCUAGUCAAUGCCGAAGAACCAAAACCUGCACCGAAGAACUUAAGCCAAACCUCUUCCUCAUUCAAUAAAUCUCACACCUCCAAACUAAAUCCCUGACUGCUUUUUGGGUCUUGCUUACACCAAACCUAACAGUAAAACAUCCCUUUGGUGCUUUUUCUUACUGAUAAAGUCCCAAAGU